rnacentral:rRNA from 1 species
GGUGAACGCUGGCGGUGUGCCUAAUACAUGCAAGUCGAGCGGACGGACAGGGAGCUUGCGCCUUUGACGUUAGCGGCUGGCGGGUGGGUAAGACAUGGAUCGCCUUCUUAUAUUUCUGGGGGGACAUCGGAGGACAGGUGCUGCUACUGCCGCAUAUUUCCUACGGCUGAGUUCAAUAGUGAUACGUGGCUCGGCUGUUAGUUUUAGCUGAUGCCGCGUCGUAUUAGCUAGUUGGUAAGGUAACGGCCUACCAAGGCAACGAUGCGUAGCUGACCUGAGAGGGUGAUCGGCCACACUGGAACUGAGACACGGUCCAGACUCCUACGGGAGGCAGCAGUAGGGAAUAUUCGACAAUGGGCGCAAGCCUGACGGAGCAAUGCCGCGUGAGUGAUGAAGGUCUUCGGAUCGUAAAGCCCUGUUAUUAGGAAAGAAAAACAGUGUAAGAAAAUGUGCACGUUUUGACGGUACCUAAUCAGAAAGCAACGGCUAACUUCGUG